UACAGAGGUCUCAAGCGUUGUUCGGAUUCAUUGGGCGUAAAGGGUGUGUAGGUGGCGCGCUAAGUCGGGUGUGAAAUUUCGGAGCUUAACUCCGAAACUGCAUUCGAUACUGGCGUGCUUGAGGACUGGAGAGGAGACUGGAAUUCAUGGUGUAGCAGUGAAAUGCGUAGAGAUCAUGAGGAAGACCAGUGGCGAAGGCGGGGUCUCUGGACAGUUCCUGACACUGAGACACGAAGGCCAGGGGAGCGAACGGG
rnacentral:rRNA from 1 species